GAGCUAUACUGUACUCCGGGUGGAAAUUUGGAAUAGAUUGGAAACAUGACGUCAUUAAUCCACUCUCCCAUUUAAAUUUUCACACGUACACUCUUUCUCCCUGUCUCUCUCUAAAGAAGAAUAGUUCACUGUUUGUGCAACAGGAAGUGUUCUGGGCUUGGUUUUCUGAAUCAAGCUGUUUUAAAUGCACUGAGUGACUGUAGGAGACCUCCAUCCUGGCACUGCCCUGAAGCAGCUUUUUAUCUCCCACCUCGAAUGCCUUACUUCUGUUUUACUGUUUUAUGCCAGUAGGAUAAGAACAAAAGACCACUUCCUAUACAAAUUCUGCACUGAAAAUAUGUUUUUCAUACCACAUAUGCCAACACACACACACAAAUAGGUUGUGUGAGGUGAGAAGCGCCACAUUCAACAUCAUCUUGAUAGACGGAAAUAUGUUAACUCAGCUGUCUGAGUUAUAUUCUGGUCUUGUCAAGCAGAGGUGGAGAGAGGACUUCCACAGUAUCUCCAUUCAGCCAGUGUGGAGGCCCUAAAUCACCAAAACCCCAAGAGUGCCACAGAACACUGUCCACAUUCAACACACAGAGUGGCAGGUAAG